GGUUGUAUUAGCUGAGGGAAUGAGAUUCCCGAAAGAAUAAAACUCCCGAACAGCUUGGAAGUCCAGCAAGGCUUGUGUUGCGGAGUAGCCUAAUUUAGUUCCAGGCACUCGACGACAAAACCCUGCUGGCUCUCUGAGAACAAAGAUGGCCGCCGCCACGUGUUCGGUACACGAAUGGCGGCCACCCGCAACAUACAUUAAUUAGCAUGGAUACAAUGUUGCAAAGUACCCAAUUGGAGACACACGACCUGCUGGGGGUGGUCUCCCAUUCGGUACUUUGUGUGUUCCAC